rnacentral:rRNA from 1 species
GAUGAACGCUGGCGGCGUGCCUAAUACAUGCAAGUCGAGCGAACAGACGAGGAGCUUGCCCCUCUGACGUUAGCGGCGGACGGGUGAGUAACACGUGGAUAACCUACCUAUAAGACUGGGAUAACUUCGGGAAACCGGAGCUAAUACCGGAUAAUAUAUUGAACCGCAUGGUUCAAUAGUGAAAGACGGUUUUGCUGUCACUUAUAGAUGGAUCCGCGACGCAUUAGCUAGUUGGUAAGGUAACGGCUUACCAAGGCGACGAUGCGUAGCCGACCUGAGAGGAUGAUCGGCCACACUGGAACUGAGACACGGUCCAGACUCCUACGGGAGGCAGCAGUAGGGAAUCUUGCGCAAUGGGCGAAAGCCUGACGGAGCAACGCCGCGUGUGUGAUGAAGGUCUUCGGAUCGUAAAACUCUGUUAUUAGGAAAGAACAAAUGUGUAAGUAACUAUGCGCGGCUUGAUGGUACCUGAUCAGAAAGCCACGGCUAACUACGUG